GGGAGUAGAUGAGUUCUGGUGUGCUCUCUGGUCUUCAAAACCAGCAUAAGGAGUUUGUAGCUUCUUAGGUGGGUUCGAUUCCCACAUAUUCCCGCCA
rnacentral:tRNA from 2 species